ensembl:lncRNA
GGCUGUCAGUUUUUAAUCAUCUACAUACUUUUAAUAGCAAAUGUGUACAAUAAUGAUUAUAUACAGUAUAUUUUGAUAAAAUAUCAACAUUUGUUUAUAUGCUGUUGAGAAUCUGUAUUGUAAAGUGAUUUGAAUUGAAAUCUAUGCGUGUUUCUUACCUGAGCCACUUUUUCACUGAUGUCUUUGAAUAUAUUCUCAUAAUUGCGUUCCUGUCUGCUAACCAGAGUGGGAAUUCCCUGUAAUAAAAAUUAUAAUACGCAGUGAACAUGACAGUAUAUUGCAGUAUGACAGAGAUGCUCUAAAUACUCUUGUUUGUAUUCUUCAUAUUGUUGGAUGCUGCCGCACCAUUUUUUUUAUUACAAUAUAUUACAAUAUGAUGUGCUAUAAAUUGUCAGGUUAUGGUUAAGUACUCAUUAACAUGAAAGUGAAUCAGGUGCAGGUGGUCAUGCGACAGUGAUGCAGUGGGGUGCAGUGGCUGCUGGGAACUAUAGUCCAGGGGUUCCUUCCGGCAUAAAUACUCUGUAUUAUUCAUUUAGUUGGAUUUCAUAUAUUUAAAAAAAAAAAUUAUAAUAUAUUACAAUACAAUAUGCAGUACUCCAUUGUUUUUACUCUUCUUCAUAUUACAGUCUGCAAACAUGCAGGAGGAUUCAAAUUCACAAGGUAAAUAAUCACUCAUUAAUGCUGUUCACUUACAGUCAGUGUGAUUUGGGGUUUGCCUUGUAAGAAGCGGGCGAAGACCUGUUGCUGUAUCUUGGGUAGGUCAUAUUCAGACAGUGUCUCCUGGCCACGCUCCAUGCUGUACUGGCAGUUAGACAGCACCAGGGGGAGCAGGUCUCUGUCCACAUCGUACCGAAUCACGUGCAGGUCGCUUACUUCUGUGAGGCUUACCAGGUAGCUGAGCAGCGCAGUAGCACACAGCCCUGCUCCCUGCCUCCGAGGAAUCAGCACUUGCAACUCGCUACUCUCAUCAAGAUCCACACUGCAAUAAUCUCCUGGUACAUUCACCUCAUCUACACAGACACACACACACAAAAGCAGCACUUGACUACAUAUGACGUUCUAUAACUCUCAGUAGGAGUUUCAGACUAUGCUUGUAGGUGUGAGGGUAAGGACGCGCAGUGAACUGCUGUUCUCCAAAUAGAAGACGUGUAACACUCACAGUUGGCCAAGGACGUCCGCAGCUGAUUCCAUGAACUCAGGAAAGUUUGAAUGCGCUUCUUGUACCACCUCUUUGUAGAUGCUAUUGAAGCAUAAAAACAGAGGUUGUUUAGCCAGCUCGUCAAAAUUUGAAAGUGAUGUUUAAAUGUGUCUACAAACUCUUCAUACAUCAAGCUGCUUUGUUUCUAAUGUGUGUUAAAUGUAAUGUAAAUAC